CAAAAUAACCAAGAAGCAAAAGAGAUUCAAGCAGCAGCAACCCAACCUGGUCACUAGCUACUUUCCAUUUGCUAGUGCAAUGAGAAAGAAGAAAACUCAUCAAAUGGAAAAAUUCCAUUUUCAGAUCUGGCCUAGCUAGCAUUCUCUGCAUAAAUGAAAUAUCCAAAAGCGCCAAAUUGUUCAAAACCUUCAGCACUCCAGUUGCAACCUCUUCAAAAUUAGAUGGAAGGACAUAUGAACCCUGCUCAGAGGACAAUCUAUUGUUUGCCUGCAAUAGCACGGCUGUCAGCAAAGAGGGAAGACUGACUAGUCCAGUUUCAGAUAUGGCAGAAAGAAGAGAAGAUACUGGCUGCUUCAUACUUAAAAUGUUAUUAUUCUUUUGCUCUGCACCAAUGUUGACCAGGUGUUUUUCAUCCUUCUCCUCAAUCAGAAAUUUUUUGAAUUCAUUCGAAACGUCUUUCAAGUUAAUAUCGGCAUCAUUCAACUCCGCUGAACUAUAAGUUGGCUUCUUUUCACCAUCUUUGCCAAUGGAUAAUGACUCAUCACUCUUAUCUAUACUACAUGAUUCAUGUACUGGUGUAUCCUCUGAUACAUCUGGAACUGCACUACCAUUUAAUACAGAUAGUGGAGGUCUGCAUUCUUCAGAU
rnacentral:misc_RNA from 1 species